GCUUUGUGCCUUGAGAGUUCCAUUUUCAAGUUCUCAAUCUAAGAAAAAACAAUAAUGGCAGAAUCGUCGCCGGUACGUUUUGGUAUUUUAGGUUGUGCUAACAUUGCUCGUAAAGUAUCACGCGCCAUCGCACUUUCUCCAAACGCCACUAUCUCCGCCGUCGGCAGCCGUUCGAUCGAAAAAGCGACGGCGUACGCCAAGGAAAACGGUUAUCCGUCAACGACGAAGAUUUACGGCAGUUAUGAGGCGGUUCUGGAUGAUCCGGAAG
rnacentral:misc_RNA from 1 species